AAAUUGAAGAGUUUGAUCAUGGCUCAGAUUGAACGCUGGCGGCAGGCCUAACACAUGCAAGUCGAACGGUAACAGGAAUCAGCUUGCUGAUUCGCUGACGAGUGGCGGACGGGUGAGUAAUGUCUGGGAAACUGCCUGAUGGAGGGGGAUAACUACUGGAAACGGUAGCUAAUACCGCAUAAUGUCGCAAGACCAAAGAGGGGGACCUUCGGGCCUCUUGCCAUCGGAUGUGCCCAGAUGGGAUUAGCUAGUAGGUGGGGUAACGGCUCACCUAGGCGACGAUCCCUAGCUGGUCUGAGAGGAUGACCAGCCACACUGGAACUGAGACACG
rnacentral:rRNA from 1 species